CCUACGGGAGGCAGCAGUGAGGAAUAUUGGUCAAUGGGCGAGAGCCUGAACCAGCCAAGUCGCGUGAAGGAUGACGGCCCUACGGGUUGUAAACUUCUUUUGUCAGGGAGCAAUGGGGUCCACGCGUGGCCUUAACGAGAGUACCUGAAGAACAAGCAUCGGCUUACUCAGGGCCAGCAGCCGCGGUAAUACGGAGGAUGCGAGCGUUAUCCGGAUUAAUUGGGUUUAAAGGGUGCGUAGGUUGUCUUUUAAGUCAGCGGUGAAAGUUUGGGGCUCAACCAUAAAAUUGCCGUUGAAACUGGCAGCCUGGAGUGGGCUAGAGGUAGGCGGAAUGCGUGGUGUAGCGGUGAAAUGCAUAGAUAUCACGCAGAACUCCGAUUGCGAAGGCAGCUUACUAAGCCAUAACUGACACUGAAGCACGAAAGCGUGGGUAUCGAACAGGAUUAGAUACCCUGGUAGUC
rnacentral:rRNA from 1 species